CCUACGGGUGGCAGCAGUCGAGAAUCAUUCACAAUGGGGGAAACCCUGAUGGUGCGACGCCGCGUGGAGGAUGAAGGUUUUAGGAUUGUAAACUCCUUUUGUUAGAGAAGAUUAUGACGGUAUCUAACGAAUAAGCACCGGCUAACUCAGUGCCAGCAGCCGCGGUAAUACGGAGGGUGCAAGCGUUACUCGGAAUCACUGGGCGUAAAGAGUGCGUAGGCGGGGUAAUAAGUCAGAUGUGAAAUCCUGUAGCUUAACUACAGAACUGCAUUUGAAACUGUUACUCUGGAGUGUGGGAGAGGUAGGUGGAAUUCUUGGUGUAGGGGUAAAAUCCGUAGAGAUCAAGAGGAAUACUCAUUGCGAAGGCGACCUGCUGGAACAUUACUGACGCUGAUGCACGAAAGCGUGGGGAGCAAACAGGAUUAGAUACCCGGGUAGUC
rnacentral:rRNA from 1 species